UAGAAGAACAGGGAGCCCACUGGCUCUGACCAGUUCCACAUGGAUGGUCUUGCAUUGUGAGCACAGAGCCCACACUUUAAAUGGAAUCUGAUAUUACAUGGUAGAAUGGAGCUAAGGAAACGGAAGGCCUGGGCUGACAGACGACAGUUAGCCCACCCCCUGGGCCUGACCAACUGACUGCUCUUGCUUCAUUCUCUAGGAGAGGAAUGGAGUCACUAAAACCCCAUGCCAGAUCACUCCAACUCAGUGUCCCCAACUAGGGCCCAACCCUGGCUGGUGCCUUAAGAGCUCACCCUGCUGUUUGCCGUCUUUUUGCAUGAAAUAGAUGUUUGCCAAAGAGCUUUUUAUAGCGUACUGUAAGCGCUGUCAUGAAAGAAAACAUCUAGCUAAAAUUAUCUGUAUCGUUCUGAGGGGAUUUUGGUGUAACAGAAGGAGAAUAUUACGUUCACCAGAGCAAAUACAGGACGGGCAGUAAGGGGAGAAGUAUGUGAGUCCUGUUGAUUGCUAACGGCACCGUUGACUGAAGGUUUGCAAAGAAAAGGACAUCUCAAACAAGCCAGAGCAGCAUUAAUAGACAGGUUACCAGCAAGCGAGGUCUCCAACAUUGAGCAGAAAUGGAUACUAUGUGGACUUUUGCAGGAGGAUUUCCCCAAGAAGGAACCGUUAGCCAUACAAACCAACCCUUGGUCACUGAGUGAGUCGCCAUGCAAACGGAACAGCAAGCAAAGUCAGAGUCACAGUGGGUCACGAUUCCCAGGCAGUGAGCAGGACCUCCACCAGCAGAUGGAGGUAAGUCUGCUGGAUGGACGAGCAGGGAGGGAACCUUUGGUUCUGGGUCCCAGGUAUAGACUCCACACUGUGGGCUGUGGGUCAGGGAAGAGUUGGGGGUGCCCCGUCUUAUGCAUUUGCUUCAAACGCAGUGUUUCUCCUUGAAACCUUCUUUGAAGGCACAGGGUGAUCUGAGCAAUGCCCUCUAGGGUCCUGGAGUCUGCCUUUAUGACUUCUUUCUGCCUCACAGACAAAUGCCAUCCAGUGGAUCUGGGCAGAAGUAAAACCCACUAAACAACCUGAUGCCAAUCUUGUCCUUUCUACCAAAGCGUAGAAACUUCCAGUGACACUCAGUUCAACUACCUUGCAGAAGGAUCUUCAUUAGGGUUGAUCAGCAGCAAACAAACGGAAAGAGUCAAAGGAAGUAAUUUAGACCAUUUAUCCACUCAACAUGAAAUGCAUUCUUUGGUUGUUAUUUAACCCAACUGAACAAGUGUGCUGACGGGAAAACCCAUUUUGACUUAAAACUCCAUCGUUCUUCGUUGUGGGUUGAACUGUGUCUUUCCCAAAGGUCACACUGGAGUCCUAAGCUCUUGGACCUGCCACCCUAUUUGAGGACAAGAUCGCUAUUGAACUACAGAAUAGAUAAGGUCCUGGCAGAGGAAAGCCCAUCCUGACUCUCCAGGAUAGCACCUUUACAGAAAGGGAGGCAGCAAGUAGUGGCAGAUACAGCCAAAGGAAUAUGGGUGGGGUUGGAAGGAUAUAGCUGCAAGCCAAAGUGUGCCAAGAACUACAACAAGUUAUAAGAAGGAUUCUCCCCAAGCUUUAGCGGAAUCACAGCCUUGCCCAUGUUUGGGCUCCCAACUUCGACAUAUACAACUAUGGGAGAGUAUUUUAGAUAUUUUAAUCCAACCAGUUUGUGCUACUUUGACCUCCUGGUCAAGCAAAUGCGUAUAUUCAUGGGUAUAUCACUGCCCUGUCAUACUGUCCAUUUACACUGAAACUAAUGUCAGUUCUGUUCAAAUUCCAUUCAAAGUCAACUAAAGCAGAUGAAAAGAAACAAUGUUUCUCCUCGGGGCCAUUUUGAAUGACUACAUAUUUAACUGGCAGAGGAAAACCAGCCCAACUGAAAUGGGCAAGGAGUCUGAAUAGACAUCAUCUCUGGGAUGUGCAAACGGCCAACAGCUGAGAAAAGGUGCUCAACUAGAUUGCCAGGAGAGUGUGUGUGCAUCAGUACCACAAGGAGGGCCUGUGAUGUGCCAACUGGGCAAGCAUGGUGAUCUGAGUGCAGAUCUCCAGCACUUGUAUGAAAGACAGGCUUGGUGGUAUGUGUAUGUCUUUAAACCCUGUUGGACAGGCAGGGACAGGUGGGUCUCUGGCACUCGUUGACUGA